UAAACUCUGCUCACAUCUUUGUAAACAAAUAGUCCCUGUGUUGAACUCGCUCAGCAUUACUUACUAAUUUGAGCUGCUGGGACCCAAGAGGUGAAUAUACAGACUCACCAUCGAGGAGCUCACAUUCUGGCUGGAGAGACCGACGUGAAGGUUCGUGCAAAGAGGUACCAGAGCCCUGAGGAAAGAACGAAGUUUUCCACGAAAGGUAGAGGUGACCUACCGGAAGGUGGCACUCGGGGGUCUGGAGGUGCUGGGCUUGCCUCCUGUAGAGCUCGGAGCUGUGGGGCUGGUUAGGGGAUGACAGCGGCACAGGCCCUGGAAGAGGAGACGCCCAGAGACCCCGCUGUGCUGCGGUUUCCACAUGUACUACUUCAGAUGAAUGACGCUCGCUGAGAUGAACCCAAGUCAGAAAGCCGUUUGCGUCCCGCGACUGCCGCUGACCGGCUGUGGGCGAAGGCAAGUCUCCUGAUCCCUCUCCGUCCCAACUGCCCACGUAACAGGGUGGUUCCUACUCUUCCUCUGGUAGGGCUCCUGUGAAGUUCAACAGGAAGUAAUUCUUUGAACUGUUCAGGAAUACAGCAGAGCACCCGCGGAGCAAGGAGGUGCAGGUUAAGGUGCAGCGGGGUCGGCCACGCGCUGAGGAUAACUGCAGCUGGGAGGCAGGUUCUCUGAGCUCCCCUCCUGGGUUAGCCAGAUCAAGAGCUGUAUACCAGAAAUGCAUCCCACUGGGCCCCUAUAGAGUUGCUUUCCCUGAACCACAGUUUGGCAGGACCCCCUCACUUCUGUAGGCAGGUCUCGUAAGGAACAGCUGUGUGAAAUUCCUCGCUGCCCUCACUGUGAAGGUUAGUGGAAAACCAUUUAGUUGGUGCCUUUCUGUCAGCUCUGCUCCUGAGGGACUGACUGCUUUUCUUUCACAGAUAUCUGAAUUGAGUAACUUCUAGAGUUCUCCUCUCUGCCUGGGCUAUCAGAAAACUUAGCAUCAAGUUCGGGGCCACUUUCUAAGAUCCUGGGCAUAGUGUUGGAGUCUGUCCCCACUCGGAUCCACCUCAUUGUACUAUGCUGAUUUUCUCUUUUAUUCUCUUAUAUUUAAAAUUCCCUUUCUUUUGCUGUAUUUUAUUUAUCUCUGCAAACUAGUCUACAUCUUUGAUGGGAUGGGGCAAAUGAUGUGUCUAUGAAUGAACAGCACUAAUGUGUAAGGGACUGAGCUGGUUGAAUGACACAGUAAAUUGACCUCUGUUAUAGUAAAUUGACCUCUGUUACAGUAAAUUGACUGAAUUUCUGUUACGGGCAGAAAAUAAUCUAUAAUCCAAAUUUCACAAGACAGUUAAAAUACUACAGAAUAAUAGGCAACCACUAAAAAUUAAAUUGAAGAAUGUUUAAAGAAAUAGGAUACACACAAUUUACCUAUGGCUCUCUCCUCUCAUACACCAGUAGGAGAUACAAUGUGUAAGUCAGUAAUGAUUAUCUCUUUUUGGUAGGCUGCUGGCUGGUUUUAUUUUCUUUUUUAUGCAUGCUUUGUUUUCCAAAAUUCCCACAAUAAACACAUAACUCUAUUAUAAUUAUAAAAGGGAGCAGGAGGCAAAGGUGAAUACCUCUGUGUCCCUCAGGGCUGUCGGAAGAAGAACAGUCAGUCCACGAGGUUCAGAUGGAGAGACUUGAAUGAUGGAUUAUGUACAGAGGUGAGUUGCUGGGUUAAAAGAAUCAGCAAAGAUUGUUCAUUUUCCCCAAAACUAAUAACAAAGGGAGGUAGUACCACCCCCAGGGGGAUUGGAGGCUCUGAGAGAAAACAAAACAAGAAACCUCCUUUAUAGCCCAGUAGAAAUAAAACACUCUGAUGGUUAAAAUUGAUGAAGCUAAGGAUAAGAUGAAGUAAUAAAGCCAAAGAAAUAAAAAUGACACAGAUGAAUUUAAAAAGAGAAUGCAGGUCAGGGCACUUUUAAAUGGGAAAGAAAAAAAGCAGAGGAAGGAUUAAAAUAAUGAAAUAAAACAGUUUGUAUGACUAUAACACGGAGGUCAAUGGGAGCUUUGCUGUGAUCACGUCACUGAUACGCCCUGUGAGCUGUCUUCACAGAUGGCUACAAAGACUACUCAUUUUAUUAGCACCAUUUCAUGAAAAUGCGGUUGUUUUCCUUUCUUUUUUGCAAACUUGUCAUCCCAAUAAUAUUUACAGAAAAUCAGAUAGGACACACAAGCACACACACAAAGAUGUUUUGAAAAUAGAUAUUCUGGAGGAAAUUAUUAAAUGAUCAACUGUCAUGAGCUUCUGGCUGGCCUCCUCCAUGACUGCAUAUAACAUUUUGUUUGUAAGCUGUUUUCAAAG